rnacentral:rRNA from 1 species
UACGUAGGGUGCAAGCGUUAUUCGGAAUUACUGGGCGUAAAGGGCUCGUAGGCGGCUUGGCGCGUCGUUUGUGAAAACCCGGGGCUCAACUUCGGGCUUGCAGGCGAUACGGGCAGACUUGAGUGUUUCAGGGGAGACUGGAAUUCCUGGUGUAGCGGUGAAAUGCGCAGAUAUCAGGAGGAACACCGGUGGCGAAGGCGCUCAUCUGGCCCAAUACUGACGCUGAAGCGCGAAAGCUAGGGGAGCAAACGGG